rnacentral:rRNA from 1 species
GGUCGCCACCAUACCAUGUUGGAACCACCGGUUCUCGUCCGACCACCGAAGUUAAGCAACUUUGGCCCGGCUAGUACUUGAAUGCAUAACGAGGUGGGAAUACUGGGUAUUGCGGUCG